AGCGGCGGAGGGACAGUAACACGUGGGUAACCUGCCUCAUAGAGGGGAAUAGCCUUCCGAAAGGAAGAUUAAUACCGCAUAAGAUUGUAAUGCCGCAUGGCAUAGCAAUUAAAGGAGCAAUCCGCUAUGAGAUGGACCCGCGUCGCAUUAGCUAGUUGGUGAGGUAACGGCUCACCAAGGCGACGAUGCGUAGCCGACCUGAGAGGGUGAUCGGCCACAUUGGGACUGAGACACGGCCCAGACUCCUACGGGAGGCAGCAGUGGGGAAUAUUGCACAAUGGGGGAAACCCUGAUGCAGCAACGCCGCGUGAGUGAUGACGGUCUUCGGAUUGUAAAGCUCUGUCUUUAGGGACGAUAAUGACGGUACCUAAGGAGGAAGCCACGGCUAACUACGUGCCAGCAGCCGCGGUAAUACGUAGGUGGCAAGCGUUGUCCGGAUUUACUGGGCGUAAAGGGAGCGUAGGUGGAUAUUUAAGUGGGAUGUGAAAUACCCGGGCUUAACCUGGGUGCUGCAUUCCAAACUGGAUAUCUAGAGUGCAGGAGAGGAAAGGAGAAUUCCUAGUGUAGCGGUGAAAUGCGUAGAGAUUAGGAAGAAUACCAGUGGCGAAGGCGCCUUUCUGGACUGUAACUGACACUGAGGCUCGAAAGCGUGGGGAGCAAAAGGAUUAGAUACUCUCGUAGUUCAUGCCUUAUACGAUGUAUA
rnacentral:rRNA from 1 species